CCUACGGGAGGCAGCAGUGAGGAAUAUUGGUCAAUGGACGAGAGUCUGAACCAGCCAAGUAGCGUGAAGGAUGACUGCCCUAUGGGUUGUAAACUUCUUUUAUAUGGGAAUAAAAUGUUCCACGUGUGGGAUUUUGUAUGUACCAUAUGAAUAAGGAUCGGCUAACGCCGUGCCAGCAGCCGCGGUAAUACGGAGGAUCCGAGCGUUAUCCGGAUUUAUUGGGUUUAAAGGGAGCGUAGGUGGAUUGUUAAGUCAGUUGUGAAAGUUUGCGGCUCAACCGUAAAAUUGCAGUUGAAACUGGCAGUCUUGAGUACAGUAGAGGUGGGCGGAAUUCGUGGUGUAGCGGUGAAAUGCUUAGAUAUCACGAAGAACUCCGAUUGCGAAGGCAGUUCACUGGACUGCAACUGACACUGAGGCUCGAAAGUGUGGGUAUCAAACAGGAUUAGAUACCCGAGUAGUC
rnacentral:rRNA from 1 species